rnacentral:lncRNA from 1 species
CCGGACUUACCACAGAACUUGAGAAUUUUGAGAGAAGAUAGUCCACGAAAUUCCUAGCAGACUGGUGAAAUGAGGUUGGAAGCUGCUUGUUGGAUUCUUAAAAGUCAUUGUGGUUGGACAGCUUGUCUACAACUUCCCAUGAAUAUAAGGUAAGUGACUGCUACGAGUUCAAUAUGUGGGGCAUGUUAUGCCACCAGCAGAGCAACAAAGGAGGCUGCGAAUAAAGGAGGCUCUUCAUAGAGGUCCAUGACUGAACAGAUAGAAACACCGGGAGCCCAACAACCAAGUCAAAUGCUAGAUAUUAUAUUUCUUGUCUUAAAUUCCAAGGAAAGUACCCAAUGCAAUGCUUCUGUGUCUAUUUCUAUUAUACUAAAUCAUUAAGAAGAAUUUACCAGAAAAAGGACAAACAAACAGCUAGUAAUUAUACAUGUUUGUGAGAUAUUGAGAUCAUCCUCAAGUUAUUUCACCUCAGUGGAGGAAGCCAGAUUUUUGAAGAUCCUACUGAUGCUGGAUGGCGAUGGAUGAUUUAAACAGAACACAGAAGACACCAAGAAAGUAUUAUCUUAUUAUGUAUGAUAGAAAACAACAAUGUAUCACCCAACAGCCUAUGAUUUAAGACUAUAGACUGCAUACAAAAGUAUCUUUCUCAACCUAAGAAAUUGUGUCAACCAUGAGAGGUUAAUAGAAAGAAAAGAAAUCUUUCCGAGCCUUCCAGAAAAUAUUAAACAUAUAGAGGAAAACAGUUCAAGAUCUUCCAAUUGAGGAUUUAACAGAGAAACAGAAGAACAGGCAACAAUACUAAACUUGAUUCAGUGUCAUCUUUCCCGGUCUGUGUGUAUAUUAAGAAGUGAUUAAUGCAGCAAAACAUGGCAUACCAUUCAGAAGAACACAACAAUACAUACACACUUUCCCAAAUUUCCUACUUGGAGCACAUAAGACACAAGAUAAAAGCCACAGCUUAAACAGAAUCUCGAAGCCCUUGGAAAGGGGUAAAAGUAAAUAGGGAAUGAAUAGUUAAAAUUGAUCACAACUAUUAAUUGUAAAAUUUUCGGGGUAAGCCUUUGCUGCUUUUCCCGAAAACUGAUAAUGUAAGUUACUUCAGUGAAAAAUAUUGAUGCAGUAAAUAGCUCGUUCAGAAAAUAGCUUCUAGAUGGGGCACCCCCCACAUCUACAUUUUCAAAAUCGAAUAUAAUAUCAAGACCAAAAAGAUUUUAUGUCCGGGUAUUGAAGCUAAAAGUUAUUCCUUCGUUAUAAUGUUAGGUUUAGUUUCUGGAGAUAAAGAAAUACAAUAUGAAUCCCCAUAAGAAGAACCUAUGCAGACAAGGGGAAAAGGCAGUUUAAAUCCCAAUGAUUAUCAAGCUUCACAGCCUUUUUCCUUCAUCCUUGUCGAGGCCAAGAUCCUCUCUUCAAAAUGUCAAAGUCAUCUUCUGAAAUAAGUGACAUCAAUACCAUGCCAAUACAUUUAACAAGAUCUUAUGAAGCACAAAAUUGGAAAUAACCAAUCAUCAGCAACAUUUGUCAAAUGAUAACAAUUUAAUAAGUCUAGUAAUAAGUAACUUAUUUCAAAUAGACUAAGCAGGUCAAUGAACAAUCCGAUCCAAUAACCUUUGGCAAAACAGAGAUCCAAUCCAAUUACUAUCUGCAGAAUAAUUUCUUUUCUUCACAAAAAUAGAAAUAGUUUCCGGGUUUUAAUUUUGCACCUUUCCUCUUUGCAAUGGCCCAAAUUCAUGAAAUACUUCAGAAGAAAGAAGGGAUAAAACAACUAAGAGGAGAAUCACUGAAAUCACACUAAUGAAAACAGUAAACUCCAUGAAAUGGAAAAGGAAAACAAAGUGUCCCCAAACCAACUUUGAGGGAAACUAGUUUAAUUAAGAGAUUUUGUGAUCAAUCCACCAUAAUCUAUCUUCAACAUUGUCACGUUUCGGUGCCUAAAUCAAAUCUCACCCAAAAAAAAAAAAUCCAUGCAGUAUUACUUCUGUAAUUUACCUCUGUCUUCUGGAAAUUUCAAGCAAUCUGCUUCCCCAGUUCUUUUUUUCUUUAAGAGAGAGAGAGAGAGAGAGAGAGAGAACUUUGCUUUUCCUCACCAUAUCUCAUGGAAAUCACGGGUGGAUUUACCUUAUGCGCAAACAAGUAGGUAAUAUUGAAUUGAGUGAGGAUUCACAACAUUUAAUAAAUGGACAUAAAAUUAAU